GCGUCAAGCUUCGCAAGUUUCGACUCGUUCACUCUGGCGACGAGGAUGGCGAGCGUUUGCCGGAAUGGAGGUUACGGCGAGUGCUUCUCCAUUAAAAGGGAUUUAUCUUUGGGAUUGUGGAAUGUUGUUAAAUGUGUUUAUUUUUGUCGCACUUCUCAUGGGGCUGCAGCUGCAAAUUCUUCCGCACAAUGGCAGACCUUGAGUGGUAAUGCUCCCUGAGUUAUAGCACGUGGCAGCUUCUGUGGAGUUUUCCCAGAAUCCAGCCAGUAUGCUUACCAAUUUGCACUGGCAAAUAGUGUGGAAAAUGUAUUUUAUAUUGUGACCUUCAAUUAACAAAAUAUGGAGCUGGAAUCUGCCAGUCAGAUUAUAGACUGGAUAAUUCAACAACUAUUUCAUCUGUCUUCCCGGAAGGGCAAAAACUUAUCCUGUCAAUGGAAAACAGCUUCAAGGAUGGUUUUCUGUUGAUUUCACUUCAGAUCAAUUAGAUAACAAUGUCUCAUUGUCUUUUCUCGACCAAGCAUAUUUGAUGCAAGUCUGCCAAUAUGUAUGGUGGAAGAUGUUGCUGGGCUUCACCCAUCUCAAUAUUGGAUAAAUGUUCACGUAAGAGCUUCAAAAUUUUAGUUAUUUUAUCUUGAUGUUCUUUGGAGAAAAGUCUUUAAUCUUCAUGUUUCUACAACUAUCUUUUCUUCGGUGAAAUACUUGAGCUUAAAAGUAUGGUAACAUGAAUCUUUAGAAACUAAUAUUAAGGAGUUAUCACUAAGAUGUCCCAUCUAUUUCUAUGAACUUGAUAUUCCACAGCUAUCUGGAAAUUCAAUAUCUGAGAUACUGAUUAACUUUAUAAUGUCUUUCAACUUGUAGUCCAAUACAUUUUUCAAGGAUCACAA